rnacentral:rRNA from 1 species
UACGUAGGCAGCGAGCGUUGUUCGGAGUUACUGGGCGUAAAGGGUGUGUAGGCGGUUCUCUAAGUUUGGUGUGAAAUCUCCCGGCUCAACCGGGAGGGUGCGCCGAAAACUGGAGGGCUAGAGUGCGGGAAGGGAGAGUGGAAUUCCGUGGUGUAGCGGUGAAAUGCGUAGAUAUCAGGAGGAACACCGGUGGUGCAGACGGCUCUCUGGACCGCGACUGACGCUGAGACACGAAAGCGUGGGGAGCGAACAGG